UACGUAGGCAGCAAGCGUUGUUCGGAGUUACUGGGCGUAAAGGGUGCGUAGGCGGUCCUAUAAGUAUGGUGUGAAAUCUCCCGGCUUAACUGGGAGGGUGCGCUAUAGACUGUGGGACUAGAGUGUGGGAGAGGAAAGUGGAAUUCCUGGUGUAGCGGUGAAAUGCGUAGAUAUUCGCAGGAACACCAGUGGCGAAGGCGGCUAACUGGUCCAUAACUGACGCUGAGGUGCGAAAGCGUGGGGAGCAAACAGG
rnacentral:rRNA from 1 species